rnacentral:tRNA from 1 species
GGCUUCAUAGCCGUGUGGUUAGUGCCACCGAGGCAUUUAGCCGCAUCGUGCUAAGGAGUGUGGGUUCGAUUCCCUCUCAGGCCU